ACCAAAAGCCUCAUCCUCUCCCCAAUCCCGUGCCUCCCGUCCUCCCCAAUCCCUGCCUCCUCCUCCUCUAGAGACGGCGGCGGCUCGGCCUGGCCAUGGAGAUGGAGCUCAGCGUGGUUGGAGGUGACAGCGGGUGCAGGCGUUGGACGAGCGUAUCCUAGAGGAGGGUGGCGGCGACCGGACGGAGCUAGAUCGGAUGUCCACGGUGGCGCGCCGCCUCUUCCCUGGGUUGCCAGACGGCCGAACGCUGCGACGACUAGACGCGGCGGAGGCUCGCCAGACGGCCGGAUGCGGCGGCGCAGCGGCUGGACGCUGCAGCGGUGGAGGCUCACCGGAGGUGGAUGGCCGGAAGGCCGGCAUGCUUAGGAGGCGCGGGUCAGGCGGCGGCAUGGCUGAUGUGGGGACCAUGGACGCCUUCACCGUUGUGCUGCUCGGGAGAAGCCUCUGCAACCCCGUCGACAGUAGCGGCCGCCGGAAUUGAAGGGGGCGGCGGCGGCGGCCAGAAAUGGACGUGGUGGCGGUGAGCAGAGCGGGAACGGGGCGGCGGCGCCUCGUCUCGGUGGCCCUGGGCGCUCAGGAGGAGCCCUCGAUCUGAGCUAGGAGGGACAAGAGCGGAUGAGGUGAAGUUGUAGGAGUAGCUCGGAUGGGGUGGGACUCAGCGUCGAAGCUUUCCUGGCUUCUUGCCGUUGUUGAACAUCUAGCGAUCCAUGUGUGCGUCGUCGCGUCCCUGAGCUGCUCACGGUGAAAUUUCUAGCGAUCCGUGUGUGCGCCGUCGGCCGCGUCCCUUAGCUGCUCACCGUGAAAUAUCCAUGGGAGAAUUCCCUGUGAAGCUAUUUGUCGGCAUUGAUUACGCAAUCCUUCUUGGAUAUAGGAUUGGUGGCUAGGAUACUAGACAGUAUAAUGAAGCUCUGCCUGCGAUUCUGUUAGAGUAUCGAGCAAUAUGUAACAGGCGCAAACAUGUUUGAGAUUGAUCACAUAACUGAGGAGUUCAACAAGAAAUCAAAUUCGAUGUACACUAUUCUAAGGAGUAGUCGACUUAUGGGAAGUCAGAGAGCACCUUCCCUAAGGCAGUUCUGAUGAGACUAAACUUCAACUGUUUCUUUGAGGUGAAGUGCCCUCUCCAGUUUUGAACAAAUAUUGUCUACUGACCGUAUGUGAAGAUAGUGAGGAUUGCUAUUGGAGCAUGGAGACUGGUUAAUUACUUCAUAUAAAUGUUGAAACACUACCCGGCCAACCAGGCCAUCUGAGAGGGGCAAACGAAUCUGGAUCGCACGUUCAGCAGCCACAGUAAAUUCCAAUCCCGCUUUUCUUCACAGCCGUCGGAUGUGGUAAUUUUUUUUCCACCGGCCUCUGCUUGUUCUGAGUGCAUGACCACUCUUGGGACCGUGCGUGCGUGGGACCAUUUAUUUGAGAGAGUGCGGGAUUGGAUACAACAUGGUCAUUUAUGUGUUGGAGAGGGAGUCCUGGAGGUCAUCGUCAACCAGAGAUUUCUAAUGUUCUUUCCUGAGGCAAAUGAGGUUACUAUUGCAAGACAUACAACCUUUGAGGAUGUUCAUGAAGGGGAUUAUCUAACAAAACCAUCCUUAUUCAAAGAUUCCGGUGUUACAACAAAGGUCAAAAUGGCGGCCCACCUACAAUGUCAAUGGUGUGCUUUUCUGGUCUUUAGAGUUUAAUCUAUCCUCCCCUUAUUACGUUUUUCAGUCACAAUUCAGUUUGUUGCUAUAUUAUUGUGCCAUUGUUUAUAUUUGUAAGUGGAUGUAUCCCUUUGUUAGAGCUCAUGCUCCAUUGAUUACCUUUAAUGGGGAGCUAGAAACUCUUAUCUUGUAAUUCCAUGUUUGUAGAUUUGACAAUUGAUUAGACUUCUAUAUUUGGACGUUGCAAGAGGGAUUAUUUUCCUUUCGUAGUAUUGUUCGACUCAUAUCUUUUUAUUUUACAAGUUUCAGCAUUUUCUGCUUAAUCUUUGUCAUUUUUGGAUCUUGGUAAGGUUUGGAGCGUAUCAAACCUUUGCAUUUAUGGUAACCCUUUUAAUUACUAAAAAUAAUGGAGUUUUCCAUUCUGUGAGUUUCUAUUUUUAUUUCCCCGGAUGUUGAGUUAGUUUUGGUGAGGCCGGUUCAUGCCCGAUCCAUUGCCUCCUUCAUGCUCCAGACCAAGCUCUCCAUCAAGGUAUAUAAAAUAUCCCUCUUGAGAAUACUAUAGUGAGUUUGGGAUUGGUUAGUAAUGUAUUGAAAUACAGCCAACCUGUUUUUAUUAUGGUGGCUUUACUAUUUCACACUGUAAUAUUUAUCCCUCAUUUUUGUCGUGCUGCAAUGUUUUUAAAAUCUUCAUUAUGCGUGAUCACAAGUGAUCAUAUUUCUUAUAAAUUAAACUAUUGCCAGGCGUGUCCUACAUCCUGAUACUUAUGCAUAUAAUGGGAAGUUCAUUGCUGCUGGGCUGUGAUGUCUUUAUAAUUCCUGAACUGUGCCCUAUUUUUCUCACCCACAGCCAAGUGGCGGGUGAAGCUGGAGCCAGAGCGCGCGCCAAGUGACGGCGACAGCCGGAUGCGGCAGCGGUGGUAGGCAGCAUGCGCCAAGUGACGGGGCAGGUGGAUGCCGCAGCAGCGGCUCCCCCUCCCCCUUCUCUUCAUCUCUCUAAUGGGUAAGUCGAUCCCUCCUAUUGUCCAUAUUGGAAAUGCCAUAUAUACACUUUGCAGGAAGCUGCUGCACCACAUAUUGUCUACCUUGUGUGUUAAUGCUCAAGGUUUUCCAUGCUACCCAGUGCUAGAGUAGUUCUUGCUUGUGUAUUGUUCUUUUUAUGCAUCUCAAAGCAAUGUGAAACUGGUAUCUUUUGCUGAUAUACAUCUUCCUUAAACAUAAAACAUUAAUUUUAAAGUUCAACAAGUGGCUAUCUAAGCUUUUCUUCAGUUCUGAAUGUUGUGGAUAAAUAUAGAGCAGCGAUGGUAUUAUCUAGGUGGUCCAAGCACUUCAUAUUCAUCCAGUCAGAUGGAUCGGUUUCUAUUUUCAGCAGAGUAAUAAUCUCUAUAAGAAAAACUGAAGUGCAGAUCACCUACCACAGCCUUUUAAAUACCUUACUACAUGGCUAACUAUCAUAUUUGUUAAAUGGGCAAUCUGCGACUUCUAGCUAAUCUUUUAUGCAGAGCACAAUAUAGGCUUCUUUGGUUAUUCAAAGUUUAAUGCUUGGCCUUUUAACAGGGUUAAAAUGAUAGGCCACUCACUCUGCACUAAUUCUGUGACCUGUCACUUCUACUUAGAUCAAAGCAUCCAUACAAAAUCACUUAGAGGUUAAGCAAUGCAAUCUCUACAUAAUACGCAGUACACAAAAAAUUAGUUGAUCCGUUUUUGUUUCUAUGAUGACCUUCUGAAUGUAUUAUACAUUUUUUCAUAAACCAGUUACCAGUCCUAACUAGAGUCAAAUGUUGAACUUUUGAAUGGUUCAAAAGGUAUUAUAAAAAGCACCAGGUCCAGAGCAAAAUGGAGAUUUUAUGCUUGAAGAUGUUGCUGCGUUCAGUAGUUCAUAGGUAAAUGAAUGUGUCUCUUUUUCCAGUUCUGAUUGAACCGUUGGGUACAGUACCAUCCUUCUGGUUGCAUCUCCUUGCGUGAGCUCUUUCCUCCCAAACUUUGCCGCUAAUUUUGGGCUCAGCUUUUGAGCAGUUCUCGCAUGAGGCAAUAAAUACAGUAUUUUCAGUGGUCCUCUGGAAUACCUUUUUAAAUUCCUCUGCUAGAGUGUUUUGUUAUGGCUUUUGGUUCUCUAACAUAUUUUAAAGUUUGUCAUAUUUCAGAAAUAUCAGAGCUUAUACCUGGAUAAAGGUAUGAAGAAUCUGAUGGCAAUUGAUCCCCCGUUGGUAAGUAGGUCUACAGAAACAUCAAAUUUACUGUGUGCUAUUUUUAGCUUUGCCUACAAUACAAUGCUCAAAUAGUGAUCAUGUAUAUACAUCCCGAGCAAAGACUGGAUUGUGUUCUUGUUACCAAAAUUUAACGGUACCUAUUGUGUUUAUCAACAUAAUUGAAGCAUGGAAGAAAAAUACAUAUCAUAUACUCAUCGUUUCCUAGAACCACUGGCCUGGCAAAGGACCUGCAUAAAAAGUAGUAUUGUUGCUUGAUUUUCUGUACUAGAGAGUUUAAUGCUCAUCGUUUCCUAGAGCCACUGGCGUUCCCUCUAAUAUGGUUACGUGUUUAAUGCUCAUUUGUUACUAAAUGUAUGAUCAGCAGUUCAGCACUACCAAUCUUCCCCAGAUAAAUUAUUUACUUCAUGAUGUCCCUAAAUCAAAUUAUCUGAGCCUAUCCAAAUAUAUAGUUUAGAAAAUGAGUAUGAGAGUUGGAAUACUUCUCUUCUUCCACUGCAGCCACAGUUUAUAUGUAUAAGUGAUAUUUACUAGCUGAAUUUAUCAUCACAUGAUCGAUCCUCACAUGUCAAAUGCAAUUUCUUUACUUUUUCCAUACAAGUAGUAGACUAAAAUUUGACGAGUCUUGCUCCAAGCAUUUGCUGCAGUAUGGUUUUUUAUAUGGUUUAAGUUAAACGAUGUGACAGUUUACAAACAGUUGGUGAGCACUGCUGGUUGUUAAGAUUAUUUGAGAGUUGGAGGAUAUGCUUCUUCAGGUCACUGAAGCCAAAUCAAUCAUGUAGUUGCCCAGUUCGAUGGAGGAUGAGCUAGAAACAGAAAACACUGUAAGACUGAUGCCUCUGGUCUGUGCCUGCUGCUAAUGUAAUAACACGGGAAAAUCUACAGAAGGAAACUCCAGACAUGUCUUCGUCCUUAAAAGGUGUCCAUAAGAAUUCUAUUGAGAAUGCAUGUAGCGCUAUUUGUGCAACUGCAACCUAUGCAAAUACCAUUCAAGGUCCCUACAGCUUUACUAAAGAAGAUGACACGAAAGAGUAUGUCUCUUUAUACCAUUCAACAUUUAUUUUGGCUAGCUCUUUUGGUCACUAUUUUAUAUACCAUUCACUGCUACCUUUUUUUCAAAAGGAAAUCUUUCGGUUCCAUCACCUAGCCGAGAACAUGCCGCGAUUAGCCGUUAAAAACGCAGGCUGAUCGUUGAUUCGGAAAGUUCUUGAUGUACAGGUUCAGAUUUCAUUUGCUUUGGUUUAUUCUUUGGUGGCCUAGGUGACCUGACGAUGUUUCAUAUUUUUGCCAUUUUAGUUUCUUCCUCUCUUUGAAUACUUGAUAUUUUUGCACAAAGUAUUUUCUGAAUUUUGGAAGCCAACACAUCCUAUAUCCUAUAUGUGUUUCUUUUGUCCUAUGAUGAAGAUUGUACCACUCAAACUUUUCUUCAGUUUUCCUGUUAAAGUUUUAUUAUUAAUAUGUCGAGGCAAAAAUUGUUAGUCCAUAUAUUAUGCAUUCUUCCUUGGUAACAUAUUUUCUUAUGUUCGUAGCAUAAUUUGUUGAAGAACGGGUGCAACUUAUGUCUAUAAUCAGUAAAAAUAUAGUGCCAGCUAAGACUUCAGUGGUAGAAUUGUAGUUCUAAUAUCUUGGGUGAGCAAAUGUGAAUUCCUUCUAAUAUUUUCCCGAAUUGAGAAGUGAACCUUGUUAAUAGAUUUCAUGUACAUAUGCUUUCUGUGUGUGUGUCAUGUGUACAUAUGCUUUGUGUGUAGAAUUGCAUGUCUAAUAUCUUGACAUAUUUCCAUGCCCUCUCAUCCUCCAAAUCAACAGGUCUUAUCAGGUGAUAAUUAGGUGUGUAAGGAUGUCUCAGCAUAUCUCUUGUCCUCCUCUUUGAGUAAGAAAACAUCUUCAUUCUGCAGUUAGUACCUCUGCACCGUUUUUAAUUCCAUACAGAAGUAUAAUUCUGCUGUGACACUUUUCCUAAUAGUUCAAUAUCCAUUAUCUUGCCAGUUUUAUUAUGAAAUGAAUUAGCAGUAUCCUUCUCUAAUCUUCCCAUACUCAGGAUUCCUGUUUCGCAUUCAUGCAAAUCAGAGAUCAUAUAUACAUGUUAAUAACAUUACCGAUCACUGCUAAUACUAUCUUUGGUAAUAGCAUGUGCUAGAAUUUAUAUGGUCUUGUGUUUUUAAUUAUUUUAUAACAUAAUUAAUGCUCACUCGAGUUGCAUGCAGCCUUGGGUGAGCUCAGCCUUGGCCGAGCUGAUACUGUCACCAGCACAGGGUGGCGUGUGCUUGAGAUUCCACUCGAGAUCGACCGGAUUUUGUAGUCAGUCGAGUUGUAGUGUUCAGUAAUCAGAACUUGUCAGGUCGUUAAAUUUCAGAGAUGUAAACUGGUAUGAGUUUCAGAAUUAUAUGGCCAUAUCCACUGUAAAUUUAUCCCAAAGCUGCUAAUGUAUGAGUUUCAGCGCUGCAAAUGUAUGAGUUUUGUGCACUAUCCAGUCAUCUACUACAAUG